GUUAAAAUAACUCUUUUGGGUACCUAAACAGGCAAUGACCUAAUGUACAAAAAAAUGUUACCCACCACUGAAACACUACUAAGAAUCUGGGAUGCUAUCAGAAAUGUAAUAUACUCCACCGGUCCUUGGCCAAAGGCUAUCCUGAUUUAUAGUAUACACUUCGCUAAUUAUGUUUGACCUUAGUAUGUGGAUAGCAGGAGGAUGUAAUUCUGUACAUCAGCUUUUCUCAGCUGGUAAACUUCUGCAAUUCAAAGUACUCCAAUACAAAUUUGACUUCACCAAAGAACAAUUUUUCGUAAAUCCCUACAAAGCAAACAAGAUGAAUAUAAAAACAUGCCAACAACCUUUUUUAGAUUCUGAAAAAGCAUGUAUGUCCC